AGAGUUUGAUCAUGGCUCAGGAUGAACGCUGGCGGCGUGCUUAACACAUGCAAGUCGAACGAUGAUCCGGUGCUUGCGCCGGGGAUUAGUGGCGAACGGGUGAGUAACACGUGAGUAACCUGCCCUUGACUCUGGGAUAAGCCUGGGAAACUGGGUCUAAUACCGGAUAUGACUCCUCAUCGCAUGGUGGGGGGUGGAAAGCUUUUUGUGGUUUUGGAUGGACUCGCGGCCUAUCAGCUUGUUGGUGGGGUAAUGGCCUACCAAGGCGACGACGGGUAGCCGGCCUGAGAGGGUGACCGGCCACACUGGGACUGAGACACGGCCCAGACUCCUACGGGAGGCAGCAGUGGGGAAUAUUGCACAAUGGGCGAAAGCCUGAUGCAGCGACGCCGCGUGAGGGAUGACGGCCUUCGGGUUGUAAACCUCUUUCAGUAGGGAAGAAGCCCUCUUUGGGGGUGACGGUACUUGCAGAAGAAGCGCCGGCUAACUACGUGCCAGCAGCCGCGGUAAUACGUAGGGCGCAAGCGUUAUCCGGAAUUAUUGGGCGUAAAGAGCUCGUAGGCGGUUUGUCGCGUCUGCUGUGAAAGACCGGGGCUCAACUCCGGUUCUGCAGUGGGUACGGGCAGACUAGAGUGCAGUAGGGGAGACUGGAAUUCCUGGUGUAGCGGUGAAAUGCGCAGAUAUCAGGAGGAACACCGAUGGCGAAGGCAGGUCUCUGGGCUGUAACUGA
rnacentral:rRNA from 1 species